CGGCCUACGGGGGGCAGCAGUGGGGAAUAUUGGGCAAUGGGCGCAAGCCUGACCCAGCAACGCCGCGUGAAGGAAGAAGGCUUUCGGGUUGUAAACUUCUUUUAAGGGGGGCGAACAAAUGGCGGUACCCCUUGAAUAAGCCACGGCUAACUACGUGCCAGCAGCCGCGGUAAUACGUAGGUGGCAAGCGUUGUCCGGAUUUACUGGGCGUAAAGGGCGUGCAGCCGGGAAGACAAGUCAGAUGUGAAAUCCCGCGGCUCAACCGCGGAACUGCAUUUGAAACUGUUUUUCUUGAGUACCGGAGG
rnacentral:rRNA from 1 species